CAUUGUUUUUCUAUGAAAGCUUAGCUACUUGUUGAUUUGAAGGAGAAUUUUUUGGGGUAAUACUGCACACAACUGCUGGAAACAUCUUUACUUAGCAACUGCAUCAGUUCCUUUGGUUGCUGUUACCCUUUCAGCACCACAGCAGUUACAUACCUUCUGCUUUUUGCAGUGCACCUUGACCAAGCCAGCUCACACACUAACACAGAGUUUUGGCUCAGGAGAAAAGGGCAAUGCCUUUAUCAGGACCCUGAGUGCCCUAAUGGGACUUAACAGCCUCUACAAGCCUCACCUGGGAUCUCCACCCUUUGCCUAUUGCUUAGGAGCCAUUUUUAAAGCUCAGGCUGCAAUAAGCAAUCUUGACUGUCCCUGGAUAAUUCCUUCCCUUUUUUUCUCCCUGAAGUUGUCAAAUGCUAUCAACAUAGAGCACUUGCAAUUCCUACACCAAGAAGGAAAGGUGAAGAAAAUCAUUUAAUCAGCUACAGGUCAAAAAAAAAAAAAAACCAACACAACCCAAACCAGGCAGAACUCCCUCAAGCAGCUGGACUUUCUACUUCUCCCUUUCUGAUUUUGAGACCAGUCAGGCUCCUGAAGUGGUAAGAAACUGAAGUCUGAAGCAAGCAAAUGCUGUUCAGCUGCAAACCACUUCAGAGAUGAUUAAGUUCAACAGCAUGUGUGGGUCACCAGAACAAGGGUAUGUACUAGGAGACAAUUUAGUCAUCUAUGGCUGAUAAUCAUAGUGAUAUUUUGAGUAUGCAAUGCUCAUUUUCUUUAAAGUGCAAAGAGGACUGUGAAAUUGACGUGUCUAAUGUUUAGCCAUUUAGGGUUGACAGCUAAUUCACUAAAAAAGACAUAAAAUUCCAUACAUUUUUCUAUUCUUAUGUAAGUGAUCUGACAAAUUUUCCAGAUGCUUCUAAAAGAAAUGAGGCCAACUCUUUUACUACACAAACAGGGCUUUGUGUAGUCACAGUGCAGUGGUUACAAGAAGGCAAAAUAUGCCUUUGGAGUUCUU